AUGCAAAGUAAACCUGCUAUAAAAGGUCAGUGCUGUCAGUCACAGAGAAGCUCUUACUGGAUCACCUUCAACACCAACAUGUUCUCUGUAGCUCUGCUGCUGCUGCUGGCAGCUGCAUCCUGUGUGAAGUGUCAACAGCUGACACAACCAGCCUCUUUGACUGUGCAGCCAGGUCAGACUCUGAGCAUCACCUGUCAGGUCUCUUAUUCUCUAACCAGCUAUCACACAAACUGGAUCCGACAACCUGCAGGAAAAGCACCUGAAUGGAUGGGUGUUAUUUGGCAUGAUGGACGUAAUGCUUAUGCCAGCAAUGUUCAAGGACGUAUAGAAAUCACCAGAGACACCAAUAAGAACACGGUGUAUCUGAGACUGUCUACCAUGAAACCAGAGGAGUCUGCUGUGUAUUAUUGUGCCAGAGAGACACAGUGGUUAAUGUGA